AUUGAACGCUGGCGGCAGGCCUAACACAUGCAAGUCGAACGAGUGGCGGACGGGUGAGUAAUGUCUGGGAAACUGCCUGAUGGAGGGGGAUAACUACUGGAAACGGUAGCUAAUACCGCAUACCAUCGGAUGUGCCCAGAUUGGAUUAGCUAGUAGGUGGGGUAAAGGCUCACCUAGGCGACGAUCCCUAGCUGGUCUGAGAGGUUGACCAGCCACACUGGAACUGAGACACGGUCCAGACUCCUACGGGAGGCAGCAGUGGGGAAUAUUGCGCAAUGGGCGAAAGCCUGAUGGAGCCAGGCCGCGUGUAUGAAGAAGGUCUUCGGGUUGUAAAGUACUUUCAGCGGGGAGGCGUUACCUGCAGAAGAAGCACCGGCUAACUACGUGCCAGCAGCCGCGGUAAUUC
rnacentral:rRNA from 1 species